CAAGAACCACUAGGUGGAUAUACGCCUUUACAAAGGCCACGGGUGCACGCACACAUCUUUGUUGGGCCAAUUCCGAAACAUUUUCCGUAAUUAUAAGUUUCACUACGACAAACUUUUUGGCAUAAUGAGUCGCCAUUUUGUGCACUACAUGUCUUAGAGGUUCACAGUGUAUGGCUGAAAUAGGUGGUUUCCAACUAUAUGAUUCUGGAUUUACUGAUAUACUAGUUGAAAUCAACAUGGUGAUCAUCACAAAAGUGAUGAAACUAACAAAUCUUUUACUUUUACCGAAUUUUAUCUUCUUAAUAUAUUUUUUUUUGUUUUUUUUUUCUCUGGUUUGA
rnacentral:lncRNA from 1 species